rnacentral:lncRNA from 1 species
CCUUUCGAGAAAACCUGCCGUCCUCUGCCCCCUGGUAAGCGGGGCAAGAAGCUACAAGGAUCGAGAGAGUUAGACAGCACCUCCUCCCCUACUAGGUGAGGCAUUUAGCCUCUCUCCACCUCUCCAGCAGGCUUCUUCAAAGACACCUCAAGUAAACAUACCAUGGAAAGCAGAGGCACAAACUGUGAGGAAGGACCUGUUUCCUGGGAGUUAAAAGCAGGCCUCCGAGUUAGGACUCAAAAAGUGAAACUAACCUACAAACCCAUGAAACCUGAUAUGAAGUGCAGAACCUGGGGCUGGGGAUGUGGCUCAAGCGGUAGCGCGCUCGCCUGGYAUGCGUGCGGCCCAGGUUCGAUCCUCAG